rnacentral:rRNA from 1 species
UACAGAGGGGGCGAGCGUUGUUCGGAAUUACUGGGCGUAAAGGGCGCGUAGGCGGCCUGCUAAGUCGGACGUGAAAUCCCUCGGCUCAACCGGGGAACUGCGUCCGAUACUGGCGGGCUUGAAUCCGGGAGAGGAAUGCGGAAUUCCAGGUGUAGCGGUGAAAUGCGUAGAUAUCUGGAGGAACACCGGUGGCGAAGGCGGCAUCCUGGACCGGCAUUGACGCUGAGGCGCGAAAGCCAGGGGAGCAAACGGGG